rnacentral:rRNA from 1 species
GGGGGGCGGGGGCGGCGGGCUGGGCGGGGGCGGGUCGGGCGGCGGCGCGGGCUUCGGCCUGGCGGCGAGUGGCGAACGGGUGAGUAAUGCAUCGGAACGUGCCCAGUAGUGGGGGAUAGCCCGGCGAAAGCCGGAUUAAUACCGCAUACGACCUGAGGGUGAAAGCGGGGGACCGAAAGGCCUCGCGCUAUUGGAGCGGCCGAUGUCGGAUUAGCUAGUUGGUGGGGUAAAGGCUUACCAAGGCGACGAUCCGUAGCUGGUCUGAGAGGACGACCAGCCACACUGGGACUGAGACACGGCCCAGACUCCUACGGGAGGCAGCAGUGGGGAAUUUUGGACAAUGGGGGCAACCCUGAUCCAGCCAUGCCGCGUGCGGGAAGAAGGCCUUCGGGUUGUAAACCGCUUUUGUUCGGGAAGAAAUCCUCUGGGCUAAUACCCCGGGGGGAUGACGGUACCGGAAGAAUAAGCACCGGCUAACUACGUG